rnacentral:rRNA from 1 species
GACGAACGCUGGCGGCGUGCUUAACACAUGCAAGUCGAACGGAAAGGCCCUGCUUUUGUGGGGUGCUCGAGUGGCGAACGGGUGAGUAACACGUGAGUAACCUGCCCUUGACUUUGGGAUAACUUCAGGAAACUGGGGCUAAUACCGGAUAGGAGCUCCUGCUGCAUGGUGGGGGUUGGAAAGUUUCGGCGGUUGGGGAUGGACUCGCGGCUUAUCAGCUUGUUGGUGGGGUAGUGGCUUACCAAGGCUUUGACGGGUAGCCGGCCUGAGAGGGUGACCGGCCACAUUGGGACUGAGAUACGGCCCAGACUCCUACGGGAGGCAGGGGUGGGGAAUAUUGCACAAGGGGCGGAAGCCUGAUGCAGCAACGCCGCGUGCGGGAUGACGGCCUUCGGGUUGUAAACCGCUUUCGCCUGUGACGAAGCGUGAGUGACGGUAAUGGGUAAAGAAGCACCGGCUAACUACGUG